UACAGAGGGUGCAAGCGUUGUUCGGAAUUAUUGGGCGUAAAGCGCGUGUAGGCGGCUUUGCAAGUCGGGCGUGAAAGCCCUCGGCUCAACCGAGGAAGUGCGCCCGAAACUGCAGAGCUUGAGUACCGGAGAGGAUGGCGGAAUUCCCCAAGUAGAGGUGAAAUUCGUAGAUAUGGGGAGGAACACCGGUGGCGAAGGCGGCCAUCUGGACGGAUACUGACGCUGAGACGCGAAAGCGUGGGGAGCAAACAGG
rnacentral:rRNA from 1 species